AUCUCGUGAUGAGGACACUUACGAAGUAACUCCUUGAAUCGCUUCCAAGCCUCAUAUAAAGACUCGUCAUGCAAUUUUUGGAAAGCUGUAAUCUCGUUCCUCAACUU
rfam:Gossypium hirsutum cultivar TM-1 chromosome 22, whole genome shotgun sequence